rnacentral:rRNA from 1 species
GAUGAACGCUGGCGGCGUGCUUAACACAUGCAAGUCGAACGAUGAACCGGGUGCUUGCACUCGGGGAUUAGUGGCGAACGGGUGAGUAACACGUGAGCAACCUGCCCCUGACUCUGGGAUAAGCGCUGGAAACGGCGUCUAAUACUGGAUAUGUCCCGUCACCGCAUGGUGUGCGGGUGGAAGGAUUUUUCGGUUGGGGAUGGGCUCGCGGCCUAUCAGCUUGUUGGUGAGGUAAUGGCUCACCAAGGCGUCGACGGGUAGCCGGCCUGGGAGGGUGACCGGCCACACUGGGACUGAGACACGGCCCAGACUCCUACGGGAGGCAGCAGUGGUGAAUAUUGCACAAUGGGCGGAAGCCUGAUGCAGCAACGCCGCGUGAGGGAUGACGGCCUUCGGGUUGUAAACCUCUUUUAGCAGGGAAGAAGCGAGAGUGACGGUACCUGCAGAAAAAGCACCGGCUAACUACGUGCCAGCCGCCGCUGUAA